rnacentral:rRNA from 1 species
UACGGAGGAUGCAAGCGUUAUCCGGAAUGAUUGGGCGUAAAGCGUCCGCAGGUGGCUGUGUAAGUCUGCUGUUAAAGAGUGAGGCUCAACCUCAUAAAGGCAGUGGAAACUACAUGGCUAGAGUGCGCUCGGGGCAGAGGGAAUUCCUGGUGUAGCGGUGAAAUGCGUAGAGAUCAGGAAGAACACCGGUGGCGAAAGCGCUCUGCUAGGCCGCAACUGACACUGAGGGACGAAAGCUAGGGGAGCGAAUGGG